rnacentral:misc_RNA from 1 species
GAUGAAGGAACGCAGCGAAAUGCGAUAAGUAAUGUGAAUUGCAGAAUUCAGUGAAUCAUCGAAUCUUUGAACGCACAUUGCGCCCGCCAGUAUUCUGGCGGGCAUGCCUGUUCGAGCGUCAUUACAACCCUCAGGCCCCCGGGCCUGGCGUUGGGGAUCGGCGGAAGCCCCCUGCGGGCACAACGCCGUCCCCCAAAUACAGUGGCGGUCCCGCCGCAGCUUCCAUUGCGUAGUAGCUAACACCUCGCAACCGGAGAGCGGCGCGGCCACGCCGUAAAACACCCAACUUCUGAAUGUUGACCUCGAAUCAGGUAGGAAUACCCGCUGAACUUAAGCAUAUCAAUAAGCGGAGGA